UACGUAGGGCGCAAGCGUUGUCCGGAAUUAUUGGGCGUAAAGAGCUCGUAGGCGGCUUGUCACGUCGGGUGUGAAAGCCCGGGGCUUAACCCCGGGUCUGCAUUCGAUACGGGCUAGCUAGAGUGUGGUAGGGGAGAUCGGAAUUCCUGGUGUAGCGGUGAAAUGCGCAGAUAUCAGGAGGAACACCGGUGGCGAAAGGCGGAUCUCUGGGCCAUUACUGACGUGAGGAGCGAAAGCGUGGGGAGCGAACAGG
rnacentral:rRNA from 1 species